rnacentral:rRNA from 1 species
UCCAGACUCCUACGGGAGGCAGCAGUGAGGAAUAUUGGUCAAUGGGCGCGAGCCUGAACCAGCCAAGUCGCGUGAGGGAUGACGGCCCUACGGGUUGUAAACCUCUUUUGUCGGGGAGCAAGGUCCGCCACGUGUGGCGGGAAGGAGAGUACCCGAAGAAAAAGCAUCGGCUAACUCCGUGCCAGCAGCCGCGGUAAUACGUAGGUGGCGAGCGUUAUCCGGAAUGAUUGGGCGUAAAGGGUGCGUAGGCGGCCUGCUAAGUCUGGAGUGAAAGGUACCGGCUCAACCGGUACAGGCUCUGGAAACUGGCGGGCUAGAGAGCAGGAGAGGGCGGUGGAACUCCAUGUGUAGCGGUAAAAUGCGUAGAUAUAUGGAAGAACACCAGUGGCGAAGGCGGCCGCCUGGCCUGUUACUGACGCUGAGGCACGAAAGCGUGGGGAGCAAAUAGGAUUAGAUACCCCAGUAA